rnacentral:rRNA from 1 species
UACGAAGGGGGCUAGCGUUGUUCGGAAUUACUGGGCGUAAAGCGCGCGCAGGCGGUUCGCCAAGUCAGUGGUGAAAGCCCGGAGCUCAACUCCGGAACUGCCAUUGAAACUGUUGAACUUGAGGACGAGAGAGGUGAGUGGAAUUCCCAGUGUAGAGGUGAAAUUCGUAGAUAUUGGGAAGAACACCGGUGGCGAAGGCGGCGACCUGGUCCGACACUGACGCUGAGGCGCGAAAGCGUGGGGAGCAAACAGG